rnacentral:rRNA from 1 species
AUUGAACGCUAGCGGCAUGCCUUACACAUGCAAGUCGAACGGCAGCGGGGGAGCUUGCUCCCGCCGGCGAGUGGCGAACGGGUGAGUAAUACAUCGGAACGUACCCAGUAGCGGGGGAUAGCCCGGCGAAAGCCGGAUUAAUACCGCAUACGCCCUACGGGGGAAAGGGGGGGAUCGCAAGACCUCUCACUAUUGGAGCGGCCGAUGGCUGAUUAGCUAGUUGGUGGGGUAAAGGCCUACCAAGGCGACGAUCAGUAGCUGGUCUGAGAGGACGACCAGCCACACUGGGACUGAGACACGGCCCAGACUCCUACGGGAGGCAGCAGUGGGGAAUUUUGACAAUGGGCGAAAGCCUGAUCCAGCAAUGCCGCGUGUGCGAAGAAGGCCUUCGGGUUGUAAAGCACUUUUGUCAGGGAAGAAAUCGUUUGGGUUAAUACCCCGAGCAGUUGACGGUACCUGAAGAACAAGCACCGGCUAACUACGUGCCAGCAGCCGCGGUAA